CGAACUUCUUUAGAGCUUGCUUUAAAGAAGUUAGCGGCGGACGGGUGAGUAACACGUGGGCAACCUGCCUGUAAGACUGGGAUAACUUCGGGAAACCGGAGCUAAUACCGGAUAAUAUAUAGUACCUCCUGGUACUAUAUUGAAAGUUGGUUUCGGCUAACACUUACAGAUGGGCCCGCGGCGCAUUAGCUAGUUGGUGAGGUAACGGCUCACCAAGGCAACGAUGCGUAGCCGACCUGAGAGGGUGAUCGGCCACACUGGGACUGAGACACGGCCCAGACUCCUACGGGAGGCAGCAGUAGGGAAUCUUCCACAAUGGACGAAAGUCUGAUGGAGCAACGCCGCGUGAGCGAUGAAGGCCUUCGGGUCGUAAAGCUCUGUUGUUAGGGAAGAACAAGUGCGAGAGUAACUGCUCGCACCUUGACGGUACCUAACCAGAAAGCCACGGCUAACUACGUGCCAGCAGCCGCGGUAAUACGUAGGUGGCAAGCGUUGUCCGGAAUUAUUGGGCGUAAAGCGCGCGCAGGCGGUUUCUUAAGUCUGAUGUGAAAGCCCACGGCUCAACCGUGGAGGGUCAUUGGAAACUGGGAGACUUGAGUGCAGAAGAGGAGAGUGGAAUUCCACGUGUAGCGGUGAAAUGCGUAGAGAUGUGGAGGAACACCAGUGGCGAAGGCGACUCUCUGGUCUGUAACUGACGCUGAGGCGCGAAAGCGUGGGGAGCAAACAGGAUUAGAUACCCUGGUAGUCCACGCCGUAAACGAUGAGUGCUAAGUGUUAGAGGGUUUCCGCCCUUUAGUGCUGCAGCUAACGCAUUAAGCACUCCGCCUGGGGAGUACGGUCGCAAGACUGAAACUCAAGGAAUUGACGGGGGCCCGCACAAGCGGUGGAGCAUGUGGUUUAAUU
rnacentral:rRNA from 2 species